GACAGAGGGUGCAAACGUUGCUCGGAAUCACUGGGCGUAAAGGGCGUGUAGGCGGACUUGCAAGUCAGGCGUGAAAUCCCUGGGCUCAACCCAGGAAUUGCACUUGAAACUGCAAGCCUUGAGUGUCGGAGAGGAAAGCGGAAUUCCUGGUGUAGAGGUGAAAUUCGUAGAUAUUGGAAAGAACACCGAUGGCGAAGGCACUCUACUGGGCUAUUACUGACACUCAGAGACGAAAGCUAGGGGAGCAAACAGG
rnacentral:rRNA from 1 species